AUGCAACAAACGGAUCUAGACAUUCGACUGUUACAGCAACCGCCUAACAGCCCCGAGCUUAAUGUUUUAGACCUUUGUUUUCACCGCUCCCUCCAAUCCCUAACCAACUGCAGAGCACCUAUGAAUAUCCAGGAGUUGGUACAUGGUGUAGAGGAGGAGUUUGAGAAUUAUGAUGCACAUAAGUUGUUCAAAAGCUUUAUCACACUACAAGCAGUAAUGGUUGAAGUCAUGAAAGAUCAAGGAGGAAAUACCUACAAGCUGCCGCAUCUACACAAGGACCGUCUACAAAAUGGUGGAGAGGAAAUAACUGGUGUAUAUUGCAGUGCAGAGCUAAUUACUGACAAGAUGGCCAUUAUAGAACAAGGGGAAUAG
rnacentral:rRNA from 1 species